GGGCCUGUAGUUCAACUGGUUAGAGCACCGCCCUGUCACGGCGGAAGUUGCGGGUUCGAAUCCCGUCAGGCCCG
rfam:Pseudanabaena sp. PCC 7367, complete genome.